rnacentral:rRNA from 1 species
GACUACCGGGGUAUCUAAGCCUGUUUGCUCCCCACGCUUUCGUACCUCAGCGUCAAUACUUGUCCAGUGAGUCGCCUUCGCCACUGGUGUUCUUCCGAAUAUCUACGAAUUUCACCUCUACACUCGGAAUUCCACUCACCUCUCCAAGAUUCUAGUUAUCUAGUUUCAAAGGCAGUUCUGGAGUUGAGCUCCAGGCUUUCACCCCUGACUUGAAUAACCGCCUACGUACGCUUUACGCCCAGUAAUUCCGAACAACGCUAGCUCCCUCCGUAUUACCGCGGCUGCUGGCACGGAGUUAGCCGGAGCUUAUUCUCCAGGUACUGUCAUUAUCAUCCCUGGUAAAAGAGCUUUACAACCCUAAGGCCUUCAUCACUCACGCGGCAUUGCUGGAUCAGGCUUUCGCCCAUUGUCCAAUAUUCCCCACUGCAGCCCCCCGUAGG